AACGAACGCUGGCGGCGUGCCUAACACAUGCAAGUCGUGCGGGAAAGCAGGGGCAACUCUGCGAGUAGAGCGGCGCACGGGUGAGUAACACGUAGGUAACCCACCUCCGAGACUGGGAUAACCUGUCGAAAGACGGGCUAAUACUAGAUAAUCCGCGGGAGCUGUGGGUUCUGGGGUUAAAGGCGGCCUCUGCUUGCAAGCUACCACUCGAAGAUGGGCCUGCGCGCCAUUAGCUUGUUGGCGGGGUAACGGCCCACCAAGGCAAAGAUGGCUAGCUGGUCUGAGAGGAUGGCCAGCCACACUGGGACUGAGACACGGCCCAGACUCCUACGGGAGGCAGCAGUGGGGAAUAUUGCGCAAUGGGCGAAAGCCUGACGCAGCGACGCCGCGUGGGUGAUGAAGGCCUUCGGGUCGUAAAGCCCUGUCGGGAGGGACGAAACCUCGGCGACCUAACACGUCGUCGACCUGACGGUACCUCCGAAGGAAGCACCGGCUAACUCCGUGCCAGCAGCCGCCGUAAAAC
rnacentral:rRNA from 1 species